AAAUCUUAUUUCACCAUAAUUGUAUUCGUAUGGCUACUUUUCUAAGCCGAUACAAACAUUACAUCCAAGACCAAUUUUUGAAUUUCCCUUUUUACAUAUGAGAAGCCAAUUUUUGUUCUUUUCAAAAGACCACAACUUUACACAUCGUUUGGCUCGACCUAGCUCAUUUGUUCUUCAUAAGAGCUGAAUCCGAACUAGCAACCCUGGUUUUACCUUUACCCAAUCUAAUAACUUUUAACCCGACCUGGGACAUAUCAAUUUGUUCUUCCAAAGAAGAGUAGUAACGACAUUAGUGUCAAAAGUAUCAUGAUUGUGUAUGGAGUCUAGAGCUUCAAAGAAGCAAAUUGAUCCCAGUCGCGACGUGCUAGACUAGUCGUGUUUUUCUCGUGUCCUAGAAGUUAGAGAAGACACGAUCUGUCCUUGCAGCACGAGAUGAAGUCACAUCGUCAAGCAAGGAUGAUUAAAAUGGAUCCGAGCAGUCCGACAUCACUACAAGGUUCAUUUUUCAGGAAUAAGGGUGAAUCUCCUGCAAAGCCAGAUUUUCGUCGUCCUUGAGGGAGAUUUUCGAAUCGUGAGCAGUAUCCAUUCAAUCCUUUCCCCCCCAAAAAGAUUUGAACCCUAAUUUUUUGUUAUAAAUACUCUCUUUAUAGUCACUGUAAGAGGGGGAUUCUUUUUUUUUCUUUUGUGAAUUGUUUUUUAGAGAGGUGUGAAUAAAUUUACUUGGACAAAGCUGAUUUAUAAUAAGGGAGAGAUACCGAGAUUUCCUCUAUUUAUUUUGCAUACACCUAAA